rnacentral:rRNA from 1 species
UACGUGAGGGUGCGAGCGUUAAUCGGAAUUACUGGGCGUAAAGCGUGCGCAGGCGGUUUUGUAAGCCAGAUGUGAAAUCCCCGGGCUUAAUCUGGGAAUGGCAUUUGGGACUGCAAGGCUGGAGUUUGGCAGAGGAGACUGGAAUUCCCGGUGUAGCAGUGAAAUGCGUAGAUAUCGGGAGGAACACCAAUAGCGAAGGCAGCUCGCUGGGACGGUACUGACACUAAGGCGCGAAAGCGUGGGGAGCGAACAGG